CACGUAGGGUGCGAGCGUUGUCCGGAAUUAUUGGGCGUAAAGAGCUCGUAGGCGGUGUGUCGCGUCUGCUGUGAAAACUCAGGGCUUAACCCUGAGCUUGCAGUGGGUACGGGCAGACUAGAGUGCGGUAGGGGAGACUGGAAUUCCUGGUGUAGCGGUGAAAUGCGCAGAUAUCAGGAGGAACACCGGUGGCGAAGGCGGCGCUCUGGACCGAGACUGACGCUGAGGCGCGAAAGCGUGGGGAGCAAACAGG
rnacentral:rRNA from 1 species